UGGUUUGCAAAGGUCUGUCUUAUUUUGUUUUGAGAUCUCUUUGGGAUGCCUUAAAGUCUGAAUAUGGAGUCAUUAAUGAGAAACAUGGAGUUAUUAGAAUCAUUUAUCAUUUUCUUUCAAGUUUGUGCUGCCAUUUUGUAUAAUUUACAGCAUUUCUUCCUUUUAUCAGGAAGUUUUUGGAUGAAAGGGAAAAGCAGCUGUUUACCUUCAGAGUGUUAGAAUAAAUGUUUUUGUUUUCCUUCCAGCCACCCGAUUCUGCAGAUCAUCAGCUGCCGAGUCAGCCCCACAUGACGACUGGGGUGAGUCAGGAGCCUGGGCCGGAGCAGACAAGGCGGUGUGGCAGCCGCAUGCUUGUUCCUGAGGAUGAUUGAGCAUCUUCAUCCAUCUGUUGUGCAUGGACCAUCUUCCUUCCCUGCCAGUCUUGCAUCUGCAUAUCCGUCACCUGCUGUUCUGGACCAGCCCAUUCAUCACACUGACUGGUUCCCCCCCAUCAAUUCUCCUGCUCUCCUUGUUAUCCAAACUUGUCUGAACUCCACAGAUUUUUCUCAGCAUCCAGGAUGAGACCUACAGCAGCUAGACCAGCUGAAUGCUGGCAGUAGCCAUGUCGUGGCUUCCCCAUUCAGAGGGAACUGCUGGCACUUGCUGCCCCAGGAGGCCAAGCCCCGCAAUUUCCUGCACUUCACCCUGCACUUGGGGAAGUGGCAGAGGAGCAUGGGAGGGGUGAGCUCUUUUGGAUUUUCUCAGUUACUUUGAUAUUUUCCGUAGAAUGAUUCUUUUCUUAAUCUUGGGUACCUGAAACAAUACUGCAAAGAAUAAUAAAGUGGUGAAAGUAACA